GUCUCCGUGGCGUAGUGGUUUGAGCGUUCGACUAGGGCUCUGGAGAUCACGGGUUCGAUUCCCAGUUGGAGCA